ACAACCUGUCCCUUCCUGCUCUGAACUGCUCCGGAUAUCUGAGACAUUGGACAGUAGGGCUGGACGAAGUUGUAAAGAGUGGCCACUGGCCAGCUACCGUGACUCACCAGACCAUCUUCACAAUGGACCUCUUCAAGUCCUUUGAAGACAUGAAGGUGUUGACCCCAGGAUGCUCCCGUCAAGCCUUUGUGUGAGUUCUUGACAGAAGAACAAAGCCCUUUGGCAGGAGUGGAAAGAUAUGUGGCGACACAUUCCAGAAGGCAUUCCUCGAUUGGACGUACGGGCGGUUUGAAAUAAACCAGCUUUUUAGAAGCGAUCUACUCCAUUUUCCUGCCUGCUCACAGGAGAUGCAUGCUGUAUCAGUGGAUGGGAAUCGCAAGCAAUACCGCUUCCACAAAGCUUCAGGGCGAAAGACGAUGAUGUCAUCCUUCAUCAAACAUGUCCAUACAAAGACCAACCAUCCAAUCUUCAGGAUAGUCAGACAGGGCAUCUCCAGAAGAAGAUUGAGGGGCCUUACCUCAUUGUGAAACAGAGGAAACACUACCUCUACUGUUUGACAGACGGCAACAAGAGAAGGCAUCAGAUUCUGAGAAAAAUUGUUGAGGACAAGGCAGCCUUGACAACUGCCAUUGUUGAACUUCCCACACAGUAGGCAGAGUUUAGGCUCCCCACAGUGGAUGAGCUGCUCAAUACUGACAGCUUUUUGUGGUCAUGGGAGAGACCUAGCACCAGCAAUCUUCGACAGACUGAUGUUGGUGAACAGACUGCAGGAGGAAGAGAGGAUCCUGGUGCAGGAGAUGAAGAGGCACUGGGGAGCCUACAAAGAGCAGUGGGAACUCUGGAGGCACUGUCCAUACA